CUGUACUUUUAUUUUGCCCUGUUGUGCUUAGUUUAUGUCUUGAAAUUUGCUCGUAUUAAAGUACAACAAAUUUCGCUCAACAGCUUAAUGGAGCUUACGUUGUGUAGAAGGUCAUCAGAGGAAGAACAUUGGAAAGAAGGGGAAAAAAAUUCCAAGAGCUCAAAUUACAACUUAAAACGAAGAGUAACAUGGUGA
rnacentral:lncRNA from 1 species